CUGCUCCUGGUCAGUGUAGCUUGAACAUGGCAGUUUCUCCAGCUCUUUUCCUGUGGCCCAUUUCUUUGUACUUGUCAGACUCCACUGAUAAUCCACUGGUCACUGAAGUUUCUUCAGGUGGUAGGAUGAGUAAAAAAGCUAACACCUGUCCCCUCCCUUUAACAGAAGCAGGAGGAAAUCCAGUCACAGUUUCCUGGUCAAGUAUUCUACCUGCUCCCCUAGGCAGGGGUCACUGGAACAGGCUCCCCAUGGCACUGGGUCACAGCACCAAGCCUGCCAGAGUACAAGAAGCAUUUGGACAACGCUCUCAGAAAUAUGGUUUCAUUUUCAGGUAGUCUUGCGUAGAGCCAGUACUUGGACUCUAUUCCUUGCAUGUCCCUUCUAACUUAGGAUAUUCUAUGAAGUCUUCUUUUACCAGUCCUUUAAUUGCCAAGGACUUUUUUUUGAACACGAUGGCUCACCCCUCACCAGCAGAACCCAGCUACAAGCCAGGUCAGCCCACUCUGCCUACCUUCCCCAACCACUCUAAUGCUCAACACCCGUGGUACUGAGUGGGAGCUCCUCAUUCACAUCUCACAUCAACCUUGCUCUCACCAUCACCUGCUCUAACACCAGACCACACAGGUGGUGUUCAGCUGUUAGCAUGGGAAAACCAGGGUGUUGCUUCGUGACCUUCAGAGCUACAGCAAUCCCCCCAGGGUUGCAUAUUAAGUCAGUUUUGUCUGGUAAGACUCAAGUCUGCCUUCAACAGCAUUUCCUUUCCUGAAAGGAAAGGAAGAGUUCAUCAGUGUCCCAAGAGUUUUAGUUCUCUGCUUACAAACUAUUGGCAUGAGUGACUUGCUGGCCAUUAAAAACACUAAUACUCUUUACUAGAGGAGGUUGUCCUUUACUAGAACUCAAUCGCUACCUAAGUGCUUUCAAUGAGUUCUGGCAAUUUACUAACUUUAAAAAUAAUUUCUAGAUUUCAUUCUGCAGUAUUUCAUUUGUAUUAUAGGAAGUCUUACUCCAAAAUUUUAAGAAAUGGUCUAGACCAUUUAGUUUCAAGCUGCACUGCCAUAUUCAGCGGUCUUCUGAUUAACGAAGACUUCAAAAAAACUAUUGUCCAUUAUGCUUGCCCUGGCUUCUUGCAACUUCAAAUCUUUGAUCUGUAUAGCUUCAGCAAGCAGAAGUUUUUUAACUGGAAUUUAAUUAAAGUGGUGUAAUUUUAAUAGCCUGCUGAACCCAGCUAUUUGUACAAAAUAAUUCUGAAUUUUCUGAGGUUUCCCAUCAGAACAUAGCACAUAUUCACACACUUUAGACCAAUCAAUGUAAGCGGCCUCUACACCACCACUAACACCCCUAAAAAAAGAAAUUACCUUUGCAUAAAGUUUAAGGACCCAAAUGCAAAUGGGAAGAGGAAAUAAUCCUUAGUCCUCAGAGCAUCAGCUAUGUAUAUAUACAAGUUCUUUGAUGCAUUACAGUAAUUAAGAUAACACUGCAAUAGAAUCGGCAGACCACCUUCUGCAGUGCAGUCGAGUAUUAUUGCAAUUAAUUUUGUAGUAAAGCCUUGAUGCUUAUGUAGUCAUUUGACUGGUAAACAUCAAGAUUAGCACAAAACAGUACAUGUUCACAAAAACAAGUCUUGUGACAACAGAAUUAAGUUGAAGAACUACACAAGAUAGUUAAGGGGUUUGAACCCCCUGAAUAAUACAGGAUUUAUCAUCUCUUCACUCUUAAUUCAGAGAAGUCACUUCAACUGUGAUUCCCACCCACGUACUGCAGACAAUGAGAAAAGCUUAUACCUUUAGAGGGAUUCUUACUGCUAUGAACUAGCAUGGACCAAGUACUCCACGACAUCUAAACAAGGAAUGGGGAGAACAGAACUAAUCAAGGAGAAAGACUGUUAACAAAGUGUUUCUUAAAGUGUUUCUAAAAAAGUUAAUGGUCUUAGCUUCCCCAUACCUAGAGCAUUGAUAAAAGUUUAUCGUCUCAAGCCAACUGUUUACUUAACACACUUUGAAGCCAACUGAGGUCUACCAACAUCACGUUGCACAAUGCUAUUCCGAGUUUCCACUGCAAGACUUCCCCUAAAGCGUAUAAAGUGCUCCAAAAUUCAAGGGUAGUCUCCCAGGUAGCUUCAAUGUGCAGAGAAUCAUGCCAUUUACAGCUUGUCAGCAAGCUUAGCUACAGGUUACUGCUGUGAGAUUCACCUCAUCUUCUCAGUAGGCUUCUGCAGUGUGCUCUUGCAUCACCACCUUGUUUGCCAUUAAGUACUUUAUCUUUCCUGCUCUGCCAAACCUCAGAUGGAAAUCGCAGGUAGGUGCAAAUCCCAGAUGUAAACUCCAUGGUUACGGUUCUUCUGCCAUGAAGCAGCUCAGUCAUUAGUGAGGACAGAAUUCAUGAAUCCACAGAUCCUUCCAGCACUCGCCAAAUGAGCAAUAUGGAAAACAAAACCACCAUCUGCCCACUGGAACAUGCUAUUGGCCCACACAACUCUAAGAGACACAUCAAGCUCCUAUAAUACAGGGGUAGACAGACUCCUUUACAAACCACGGGCCCUCAGCUCCAGUUGGAGGGAGUAAGCUACACAGCCAGAAAGAUGUCUUUCCUAGUGCCUCAGGAGGAGAGGGAAGUCAGAGGUACCCAUUAGUUUAUUCAAAACUGACUUCUGUUGAUGGCAUGGGUGACUUUUAUAAUCAAGUGCAUCAUGCAGUUAUGACACACCUCUGCAUGGGCACGCAGCUGCUGCCGACAGUGGUUGUUAGGAAUCAGAAGCAGGCGUACAACCCUUUGCACACGUUGUGUUGACGUUCGAGACAAUGGCCAGGUCUAUUCCUACCACAGUGAAGUCCACAUUACCACUGAAAGCCUCUAUUUAAGCCUUGUUAGAGCACAACAUGAGACUCCAGAGCCACACCUUCUGGUUUCUCCAGACAUGGCACUACAAAGAGGAUAAUACUAGCUCUGUCCUAUCAUUCUGCACUAAGACAGCGAUCCUGGUUAAUUAAGAAAUGUAGAUGCUUUUGAUGCGUAAGUCCGAAACCUGACCUGUAAGACACAGGCUUCCCAAAGAUCACUGAGAACAGCUGAUGAUCAUCUUCACUGUAUCAGCACAGAAGUCAUCUUCCAAAGUCAGAAUUCAAAGCAUUCACUUUGUGAACACGCCAGAAUAGGUCUCAUAACCAUCACUUCCAGCUGUUCCCUUAAUAUAGGGUACUAGCCUCUAUACUACUAGUUAGGCUAAAAUCUAGCUGGAAUUACAAAUAAAACUUGCUACAGAAAGCACAUAUCCAUAGACCAUUUAUGGAGAAGCAGCAACUGAGGAGCAAUGGAAUCUCCAGCUGAAUCACAGAAAGGAGAUUAAAAAGCAAGUACCAACUCCAAGAUAAUGAGCUACCUGAAAGAAACUUCUUAACUGGUGUUCUGAUUCAACAGCAGUUUGGUGCUACUACUGCUCUACAAAGAGAAGUCAAUCUAAAGUUGAUCUACGAGUAAGAUGUUUCCUUGGGCACCAAAGCAGCUUAGAUCAGAAAGUGAACAGUGACAGCCUUGGCUCUCUCCACGAAGACCCCUGUCAAAAUUCACUCCUAUGUUAAAGGCAAAGAGCAGACAAUUAAAUCACUAGAUUGAGAACAGAUCAGCUGACUUUUUAAAAGGAAGGUUAUUCCUGUAGCCACCUCCUGCAUCGGGCACAAGGCCUCAACAGACCAAGCCAGUCUUCUCCCACCAAAGGAAGGUCCAUUUCUAAGGAACUAAGUAAGCAAAUCUGCACCAAGAAGGUUUGUUAAAGUACCGGGAAAGUGAUGACAGGACAGCAGGAUGAUACAUACUCAGUUAUCAGCCCUGACUGAAGUCACACAGUUGUCCCAAGUUCACCAUAUAAUCAAAAAGCUGGUAUAGUGACAUGGAACAGUAAGAUAAAAAUAGAAAGGUAGCAACUGUCGUACACCAUGCCAGUAUCAUGAGCCCACCCUUGCCCACUCUGCUCCAGGUGAAUAACAGAUACUAUGCCAGUAAGUUCUCGCUAUAGAAAGCGAUUUGUCAUCCUUCUAGAGGACAGGCCACAGGCUCUGCCAGACUGUUCUGCUUUUUAAUCUGGCUCAUGUAGGCAAAUGCAUGUUUUUGAAUAUGCAACUAAGAAAGUUCAUCAGCUCAGGUUUAGUUCAGCCUGUUUCUCUGGGGAUUACGAAACCUCUGCUAGCAUAAGUUUGAGCUUUGGACACCUAUCACAGCUCAGGAAUUCAUAACUCAACUCCACUUCAGAGGCUUUAAUCCAGCUAUUCUACUUCUCUUACUAGCUAAGGUUCCUCCCUUCCUAACCACUAACCUGACAGCUAAAAACCUCCAUGUCUAGGUUUGUACUACUUCGGUCUGUUGGAAGCUUUCUGCUGCUGUUAAGGGAUAUGUCUGGGGAACCAACACACUGAAGACUUAGGGGCUUUCUUCCAAGAACGUGCACAGGGCACGCGUGCAAUGGUUUUAAGGAACAUCCAGCUUUUAGCUUUAUGCUCUACACUUCGAGUGGACAGAGCUCACAGGACUACUGCAUAUAUCAAAGCAGAAGCUCAGUGUCCAUCCUUGUAGGGCACAGGCACAGCCAAAUAGCAUACUAUAAUGUGAGUGAACAAGUAAAAAAAGCUCAGAAAGUGUAUUUUGGGAGAUAUUGAAGUAUGACUGCUGACAGCGUUUCUAAUGUUUCUAACAGCCAACCUCCUCUGUGCUAUCAAGCAGAUUACAGAACUAAGCUUUAUAUUUUUAUUUUUCCUUUAGUACUUUAGUCUCAUUAGAGCUGAGAAUUUAUCAAAUUGCCAAGUGACCUCAAACAAGUCACUUCACUUUUUCUCAUAGACAGAAAUUGAACAUGAAGUCUGCUGAGGUUAGAAAAUCCCAUUAAUACUGAAUCAAAAUAGUCGCCUCAAAGCGGUCAGAAAGCCAACUCCUGCAAGAAGUUUUUGCCUAUACAAUCACUACAUCUGAGUUUCAGACCCUUCAAAACUUUUGAGUCAGUUUUCUGAAAGCAACAUCAGCUCUGACAAACAGUAAGCUUGUACCAGUGAGAACAGUGUCAAACAACUUCAAAAUGUAGCUUCCAAACGACUGGCUUCUACUUGUGAAUGGACAAGAUGCAUCUGGAAAAACAAAAGCAACCCUGCUGAAGUUAAACCCUAUUCCUUAACUAUACUGUCCCAUUUUAAACUUUCAGCAAUCUUACCCAGCCUCACAGGAAAUACACCUUUAAAUACAGUUUAAAGAAGUUUAAAAUUCUUGCUUCAAAGCAAUUUAAAUUCCUGGUAAGUCAGUUCAACAAUUUACGGGUUAUUAGGAAAGAAAAAUUAAAUUUUGCCUGGUGUAUUGCCUGAGGUUGCAGGGACCCUCAAGCAUCCUCCCCCCUCUGGACGUCAUCUGGUCUAACCCCCUGCUCAAGGAGAGCCACUCAAAGCCAAGGGGAUAUGACCACGUCCAGAUGACUCCUGACCAUCUCCUAGAAGGGAGACUCCACAACAUCUCUGGGCAACCCGUGCCAAUGCUUGGUCACCCCAUCAAUAAAAAACAGCUUCCUGAUGUUCAGAGUGAGCCUCUUGUGUUUCAGUUUGCACCCGUUGCCUCCUGUCCUGUCACUGGACACCGUGGAGAAAGGCCUAGCUUUCUCUUUGCACCCUCCCUUCACAUACACUGGGCAAGAUCCCCCAAGCCUCCUCUUCUCCAGGCUGAACAGCCCUGCUCUCUCAGCCAUUCCUCAUGGAAGAGAUGUUCCAGUCCCUUCGUCACCUUCAUGGCCCCUUGUUGGCCUCUCCAGUAGCUCCAUGUCCCUCUUGUACUGGGGAGCCCAGAACUGGACUCAGCACUCCAGGAGUGGCCUCACCAGUGCUGAGCAAAGGAGAAGGAUCACCUCCCUCGACCUGCAGGUAACACGUGGACUAACGCAUCCCAGGACACCGUUAGUCUUCUUUGCUGCAAGGGCAACAUCUGGGAAGUUGCCAAAGUAAAUAUAGUAGAAUUGCAAGAGAGUUGGAAGUGCUAGAAAAAGUUUCCCACACAACCCUAGCUCAGCACAUUGUUACAGAUCAGCGUUACGUGACAAAGUCCUGUUCCCCUGCCAGUCAUUUGGGUAAGCAUUAUAAUAGACAAAAGCCAAAGAAAGAUGAUGAGAAGCUUCCCCAUUUUGAAACCUGCACUGUGAAGAUAAAGUUAAUUUAGUUUGCUGGGUAGUUGGGAAUUCCCGAAGUCUUAGUAAAUCUGUUUUAAAACAUCUGUACAAGCAGCACCACAGAAAACUCACUGCACUGGGCAUGGAAGAGUCUGAACAGCGCAAGAUAAAUUCUUAAGUGAAUGAGACAAGUUACUCACUAGACAGGAUCUUCCAAUGCACUGAAUACAAGCUCCACGGUGCAUUAAUUAUAAAAUGCUUAAUACAGAGUGGGGAGAAGUAGAAUGGGGCAUAAGUUAGCCUGACCUUUAUUGAAGUACUUCAGUUAAACACUCAACUCUUGCACACUACUUGCCAUAUUCAAGAGGAAGUAGUGUUUUUCCCCAAAAAUGGCUGAUAACAGUUAAAAGCAAGUGAAGACACUUUAUUCCACUGCUCCAGAUAGCUGGGGUUCUUAUUUAUGAUGGUUGUGAUAACAUUUUUUAUUUAAGCCUAUGCAUUCUGCUUAAGCUUUGGCAUUAAGGUAGCCACCAAGGUGUUUAAGAUUACAUUUGGAGAUGCCUCAUGUUCUACAGUAAGUACUCUUUAAUGAACACUUACUUCAAAAUAACACAAGAAAGUUACUCUAUUUCACGAGAUGUUCAGUGUUGUCCUCCCUAUCCUUCAGAAUCCAUUUUCACAAGUCUAGGAGUAGUAAACACUCAAAGGCAGAACGGUAACCACUCAAGAGGCCGAAUGCAAAAUCAAGAUGCUAGUUAUUUCUACUACCACAGUGGUAGAGAAACUUCCUUGUUUAUUUUGCAGUCUGAAGUAGAGGUGUCCUGAUAGCUAAUGCCUGAGCUUUGGCGUUAUUUUACUUAGCAGAUGUAGGCUCCUAAACCAGAUACUCGGACUGCCUUCUGUAACAGCCUACCAUCCUCCAGAGUGUGAGGAUCCAAGACCCAUACCUUUACCACUUACAUUAUCCUAAUUAAGUAGUACUGACAUGAUUGUCCCCAGUAUUUCCACCAGAAAGUGACAUUAUAGGCUAAAAUGAAGUCACUGCAUUUUGCCCUUGCAGGGGAACAUGAAAAGCAGCACAAAAUCUGGGCUACUACAUACUAAUUGCAGCAUCUAGUUCACAAACUGCUGAUGAUCUACCAGACGCCCCAGAAGGAAGAAGCUGCAUUUGACAAGCUAUUUCCUAGAACUGUUUCUAAUCUUUCCUGAUUUCUGUAUCAGUAGAGAAAGCACACCUUCCCCCAUGCCCACCAUCGUUGCUUUUGAAGGGACAGAAGCUUCACGCUGAAUUAACUAAUGUCUUAAGUCCUGUUAUCCACUUCAGUUACCUAACCCAACAGCUUUUCCUACCAGCAAAAGAAUUUACUCUGCUACCCAAGAAGUUACUAGAGACCUGCAAUAGCCCCGAAGUCUAUAAAGGCACUCUUCUAGCCUGACCAAAACCAAGAUAUCCACCCUAGAAAGUGGAAGUUGCCUUUGUGGAUUUUUUUUGUACUUGUAUGAGGCAAGAAUGCUUCCAAGUGUCAGCUCUUGCCCCUUAAUAAAUUGGUCUGCCUUCUGACAAGACAUCUCUGCUAUUUCUGACAGAGGGAUUCUUAAUUUCUUUGAAGUCAUACAUCAGGAUUUCUUUUUUUUUUUUUGCCUUUAACUCCUUCCUAAAAUGACCACCAAGGGAACUCUGAUAGGACUUUUCUCACUGGUUAGAUUUGCGUGCAUUUUGUGCUAUAUGAAGGGGUUUGUGUAUUCAUAUGAACUCUUCUGCAGUGAGUGACAAGCGAUCAGUAGUAAAUGCACCUAAUCUCAGGAAGCAUACUCUAGGAGAGGAGAUGGUGAUGGAAGGGACUAGGUAACGCAAUGGCCACACUGAUCCCAUGGCUUACUUUAGUUAAGCCACAAGGAUGCAGUUUGAAGAGGAUAAGGGAAAACAGUUCAAGGCAGAGCGGAAAAAAUGGAGCUGGGGAGAAAUUAGAA